CCUACGGGUGGCAGCAGUGAGGAAUAUUGGUCAAUGGACGAGAGUCUGAACCAGCCAAGUAGCGUGAAGGAUGACUGCCCUAUGGGUUGUAAACUUCUUUUAUAUGGGAAUAAAACGUUCCACGUGUGGGAUUUUGUAUGUACCAUAUGAAUAAGGAUCGGCGAACUCCGGGCCAGCAGCCGCGGUGAUACGGAGGGUACGAGCGUUGUCCGGUUUUAUUGGGUUUAAAGGGAGCGUAGGUGGAUUGUUAAGUCAGUUGUGAAAGUUUGCGGCUAAACCGUAAAAUUGCAGUUGAAACUGGCAGUCUUGAGUACAGUAGAGGUGGGCGGAAUUCGUGGUGUAGCGGUGAAAUGCUUAGAUAUCACGAAGAACUCCGAUUGCGAAGGCAGUUCACUGGACUGCAACUGACACUGAGGCUCGAAAGUGUGGGUAUCAAACAGGAUUAGAUACCCUAGUAGUC
rnacentral:rRNA from 1 species